UAUACUAUUCGGUAAAAAAUGAUAAUUUUGAUUAAACAUUAUUCAUUUUAAACUAUCCCAAGAUGCACUUUUCCAAGAUUUAGCGGGUUCUGAUUGGUCAGUAUUGGCGCACUUUAUGAUUCCGAGCGAAGGUUAAAAUGGACAAGAAGGUGCUGUUGUAAAAUGGAGAAUUGAGAAGCAUUAAUAGCCUCUACAACAAGGAAAUAAUGCAGGAACGAAGAACUCAUGUCAAGCAUUGACAGCAUACAAAGUCAAUGUUUCCGGUGAUUAGUUGUAUCCUCUGUUCGGUGAUUCGGGUGAAUGUUUUGACCAGCUGGACGAUGUGAACGCAAGAUAAAUAGAACAGACAUAAAGUACAGCCCAGUGAAAGGAACAAGUUCAUCGCAAGAAGAAGAAUUUUAAUGCUAACACUGUCCAGAACUACUAAGUCUGCUGUAGCCAUGAUGUGAUCAUAUGAGUGCUUCACUGGUCUGGGCAAUGCCCGAAAGUCCCCCAAAAAGGCCUACUUCCAUAAACUACGACUCGGGUUACAUCAACAACAGCCAAGGACACUCCUUAUUGAUUCGAAUGGACACAUCUUUACGACCCGACUAAACCUCUGCAGAACAAGACUUUUUAACUGUAAAGUAUUCUCAUUUCAAAAAACCUAUAAACUAUAAACAUGCGCGGAUCCAGAAAUUUUUUCCAGGGGGGGUCCGAAGGAUAAUUGUGUUUGCCAGGAGGGGUCCGAGGCAUAUUUUCGCGAUAAUUUUACUAUGUAAAUUUAAUAAAUUUUCAUUUUCCAGGGGGGGUCGGGACCCCCCCGACCCCCCCUCUAGAUCCGCGCAUGAUAAAAGUACUUUUUUUAUAUGAUCAAAUACCAGUAUAUUACAAUGUCUGUCUGUAAGCUAGAAUCUUAGAAAAUCACAUGGUUUUGACUUAUUAAAUGAUUGAUUAGACCUUGCAGAUAUUAACUUUCAUUUUCUUAAAUAAUUUGUUAUAUUUGCAAAUAUUGCAUAAAAUAUUAGACUCCAUGUAACAUAUAUCCUCACACCUCCAAGUUGAUAAGUGUUAACUACUUUUUUUUUCCAUUUUCUUUGUUUUAACAUUUAUUGAUAACUUAGUUUUUAUUUGCAGCAAUAUAUGAAAAAUUAAGAAACCAAUCUUAAAUGUAAAAACACUGCAUUAGGAGAUGAAUACAUGGGUCAUAGAAAUGAUAAAAUACACCAAACAAUAUUCAAUUAUGUCGUAUAUGAAAAUAUAUAAAGACAACAUAUACCCCAUGUAUUACAAUUUUUAUAUAACAAAAUUACUUGGCUGGAAAGUUGUUUCCACGUGGGUUUUAUUUUAAUCUGUGUUAUGUAACUAAUAUAUAAUUGGAAUAGUUUUUAUAUCAUAAGUAAAAUGCUGGUAUUGAUGAGAAUUGUAAGGUGAAUGAUCUGUGUGAUAAUUUGUAUUUUAUACAUUCAUGCUACAAAAAGCAAGUACAUGUACAUGUAGUAAUACUUGUCAUAUAUAAACAAUGUAUAUUUUACUUCAUGUCUUGGAUUUAAAAAUAUUAAUGUAGGUAAAGUAGUGAAAUGUAGGAAGGUAAACCGUGUGUAAAGAAGAAUAUUCAUCAGGAAUGAAGUGUGUUGCAAUCAGCAUAAUUAAUUUAAAUUGUACAUCAUAUUUUUGCACAUGAUUUGACAGACUGCUCCAUUGUUAGCUUUUUAUUGGCCAACAAGCUUUUAAUAUCUCCCUCUGGGUCAUCUAUUAAAUACUGACAGGCUUAUGAUAUUAAAACCUGAUCAGUUGGUACAUCAUGGGUGGAAAUGAAAAGUUCACUUUGGACUUAAUGGAUUAUCAAAAAAAUGAUAUCAAAUCCUGUUCUAUUGUAAAACAUUAGAUUAUAUUACUAACAAAGGAAAGGUUUAUCCCAACUUGUAAGUGGGUCACUUUGACCUCAUUUUGGAAUUUAUUGACAUAUUCAAAUCAAAUCUGGGUCAUACCUCUAUAGUCAACUACUAUCUUGUAGUGUAUUUUUUUUUUUUAAAAGAUGGAUACUUUAGACUUUUCAAAAAUAUUUUAUGGUGUACAUA